CUUGGUCAUUUAGAGGAAGUAAAAGUCGUAACAAGGUCUCCGUAGGUGAACCUGCGGAGGGAUCAUUACAGAGUUCUCGCCCUUCCGGGUAGAUCUCCCACCCACUGUUAUUGUUACCGUCGUUUCUUUGGCGGGCCGCCGGGCCCUGCUCGGCCGCCGGCCCCGGCUGGCGCGUGCCCGCCAGAGGCCCUUCAAACUCUGAAUGUUAGUGUCGUCUGAGUACUAUACAAUAGUUAAAACUUUCAACAACGGAUCUCUUGGUUCUGGCAUCGAUGAAGAACGCAGCGAAAUGCGAUAAGUAAUGCGAAUUGCAGAAUUCAGUGAGUCAUCGAAUCUUUGAACGCACAUUGCGCCCUGUGGUAUUCCGCAGGGCAUGCCUGUUCGAGCGUCAUUUCAACCCUCAAGCCCUGCUUGGUGUUGGGCCCUGCCCGUUGCGGCCGGCCCUAAAGUCAGUGGCGGCGCCGUCUGGCUCUAAGCGUAGUACAUCUCUCGCUCUAGGGCCCCGCGGUGGCUUGCCAGCAACCCCAACUCCUAUGGUUGACCUCGGAUCAGGUAGGGAUACCCGCUGAACUUAAGCAUAUCAAUAAGCGGAGGA
rnacentral:rRNA from 1 species